rnacentral:rRNA from 1 species
AUCCUGGCUCAGAUUGAACGCUGGCGGAAUGCUUUACACAUGCAAGUCGAACGGUAGAGGGGGCAACCCCUCGAGAGUGGCGAACGGGUGAGUAAUAUAUCGGAACGUGCCCAGUCGUGGGGGAUAACGUAGCGAAAGUUACGCUAAUACCGCAUACGCACUGAGGUGGAAAGCAGGGGAUCGCAAGACCUUGCGCUAUACGAGCGGCCGAUGUCAGAUUAGCUAGUUGGUAGGGUAAAGGCCUACCAAGGCGACGAUCUGUAGCGGGUCUGAGAGGAUGAUCCGCCACACUGGGACUGAGACACGGCCCAGACUCCUACGGGAGGCAGCAGUGGGGAAUUUUGGACAAUGGGCGAAAGCCUGAUCCAGCCAUGCCGCGUGAGUGAAGAAGGCCUUCGGGUUGUAAAGCUCUUUCGGCUGGGAAGAAAUCGCACAGGCUAAUACUCUGUGUGGAUGACGGUACCAGCACAAGAAGCACCGGCUAACUACGUG